rnacentral:rRNA from 1 species
AUUGAACGCUGGCGGCAGGCCUAACACAUGCAAGUCGAACGAGUGGCGGACGGGUGAGUAAUGUCUGGGAAACUGCCCGAUGGAGGGGGAUAACUCCUGGAAACGGUAGCUAAUAACGCAUACCAUAGGAUGUGCACAGAUGGGGUUAGCUAGUCGGUGGGGUAACGGCUCACAUAGGCGACGAGCCCUAGCUGGUCUCACAGGAUGACCAGCCACACUGGAACUGAGCCACGGGCCAUACCCCGACGGGAGGCAGCAGGGGGGAAUAGUGGACAAUGGUCGCAAGCCGUGUGCAGCCAUGCCGCGUGUAUGAAGAAGGCCUUCGGGUUGUAAAGUACUUUCAGCGAGGAGGCGUUACUCGCAGAAGAAGCACCGGCUAACUCCGUGCCAGCAGCCGCGGUAAUAC